CAAGCCUCAACACCCUGCAUGCAAGUCAGAAGCACUCAAACAGGUGGGCUCUCCUCUAUGAACUUACAGUACAGUAUACUAUGUCUUCCAAAAGGAUAGGAGGAGCUAUGGCACAAGAAUGGAAUGCCUCUAGCACUGGAUGAGAAACACACACCACAACUUACCUUUGAUCCCUAUCAACCUGAUAAAGGUAUGAGACAAACUCAUUAUGUUGUUUUACGAUCGAACUUGAUCAAGCCACAUAUGAAGUAACGUAUGAAGCCACAAUUAGAGGUUUUAAUGAUGUUUCAAUGAAGAACCCACGCAAAAGAAAUAUUACUGUACUCUAAAAGAACCCUGCUAUUUAACAUCAACAGCCCUGAAGGAAACCCCAGAGGAUUCUCUGUGUGUUUUUUUGUUUUAGAUUUUACAUUCUGGUUCCAUACUCAGGGCUGGCACCAAGAUAAACACGCAGCCCUCACUAGAGUUGGUGUAAGUAGUGAUGUGUGGGUGUUUCACAGUAUCGUGCAGUAACAGUAUUUAUUUAUUUAUUUAUUUAUUUAUUUAUCUGUGGUCAUAGUGAAGUUUAACACGUAGUAGCGCACACUGCCUCUGGGCCAGGCCAUACUGAUCCCUGUUUUUAAAUCUCAGCUAAAAGGAAAACGACAUGUUUUGUGCUUUACCAUUGUGGUAGUAUACUAUGUGUGAAACGGUCCUAUCUUAACUACAUUUUGGAACUGAAUUCAUCCAGUUUUGUGAAUCCCAUGUUCACCAAAACAUUAUUUUGGCCUUGAUCCAAUCCCUUUUUUCUUAGGCAGUUUUUAUAUUACUGUGUUUUACAAUCAAAGAUGACCAACAAAGCAGGGUAUUUUUUUUAAACCCAAUAGCAAAACUAUAUAAACUGUACUUAAAAAUAAAGAAAUAAACAGGAGACGUUUUAUCAAUUUUUACUUUGAAUAUUAAGCAGGCAUGCGACAUGCCAGCAGCAGAAUGGAACUCUUGUACAUUUCCCCAUGACAUGCUGUUAACCCUAAUAUUUACAUUAUUUACACUGCCUACCACAGCUUGGUAAUAUGAUAAUAUUUAUAAUGUUGAAACAAGUUUAUAUGUAAAAUACAACAGAAGUCAAGUAUAAUAAACAUAUUUUGUUUUGUAUUUUUUCUUACGAAUGGAAGAUUCUGUUAGUUCAAUGUUUAUAUGAGGCCAACACUGAAAGUUGAACGGGUGAUAUGACACCUAAACGGUUUUAGGGUUCCUAUUACAGUUAGCUCAUAUUAAGAUGGAAGUGACACAGUGGAUGGUGAGGUGUGGAAAAAAGUCUUUAUAUAGCUUUCAGUCUGCCUCUUUUGGAAAAUAUUGCUUCAGUUUAUCCUAUUUUCUUUCCUGUGUGUGAUCUCUGAUGACCACCCACACAGAAAACUAAAAGAAAUGCACACUGAUUAAGCUCUUUAAUGUAGAAACAUCAGAGGAUCUGCUUCUCAGGAUAUUUUAAUUACUUUUAAAGCCUACAUCUAAGUUUUGUUAAAAAAUCACUCUUAUCACUAUACAUAUCACUACUUGCUUUCUAGCUUCCAGAAACUAUAAGUAAUGAUGCUGCACUUAUUGGAGUCUGCAGUUUCUUUAUCUGUAAAAUAAUGCUUUGUUUGCCAAAGUGCACACCAAUAUUUAGAUCACGCUAGUAAAAGACAAAAGUUAUUGGUGUUGAAACUGUAAAACACAUUUGUUCUCUUAACUGUUUAGAGUGAAAAUUUGAAUGAAGCAACAAUUUGCUGUGCUUCUUUUGAAAAUGAAUCAAUAUGCUUGGUUCAUUUCUUUGUAUAUAUUUACAGAGUGAUUAGAAAGUAAGUUUACCACAUCAACGCACCAUAUCAUUGGUGUAGUAAACUUACGUUCUAAUCACCUUGUAUAUUUGCAUUUCAUUUUAACAUUCAUAGAUCUUCCAUACGUUCCAUAAUCCUCUCAAAAGCAUUUGGAGAGUGGGAUUUUUUAGACAGCCCAGUCAGUGUUUAUAUGCA